rnacentral:rRNA from 1 species
GUUAUAACCGGCGAUUUCCGAAUGGGGAAACCCAGUGUGUUUCGACACACUAUCAUUAACUGAAUCCAUAGGUUAAUGAGGCGAACCGGGGGAACUGAAACAUCUAAGUACCCCGAGGAAAAGAAAUCAACCGAGAUUCCCCCAGUAGCGGCGAGCGAACGGGGAGGAGCCCAGAGCCUGAAUCAGUGUGUGUGUUAGUGGAAGCGUCUGGAAAGGCGCGCGAUACAGGGUGACAGCCCCGUACACAAAAAUGCACAUGCUGUGAGCUCGAUGAGUAGGGCGGGACACGUGGUAUCCUGUCUGAAUAUGGGGGGACCAUCCUCCAAGGCUAAAUACUCCUGACUGACCGAUAGUGAACCAGUACCGUGAGGGAAAGGCGAAAAGAACCCCGGCGAGGGGAGUGAAAAAGAACCUGAAACCGUGUACGUACAAGCAGUGGGAGCACAGAGCAAUCUGUGUGACUGCGUACCUUUUGUAUAAUGGGUCAGCGACUUAUAUUCUGUAGCAAGGUUAACCGAAUAGGGGAGCCGAAGGGAAACCGAGUCUUAACUGGGCGUUAAGUUGCAGGGUAUAGACCCGAAACCCGGUGAUCUAGCCAUGGGCAGGUUGAAGGUUGGGUAACACUAACUGGAGGACCGAACCGACUAAUGUUGAAAAAUUAGCGGAUGACUUGUGGCUGGGGGUGAAAGGCCAAUCAAACCGGGAGAUAGCUGGUUCUCCCCGAAAGCUAUUUAGGUAGCGCCUCGUGAAUUCAUCUCCGGGGGUAGAGCACUGUUUCGGCAAGGGGGUCAUCCCGACUUACCAACCCGAUGCAAACUGCGAAUACCGGAGAAUGUUAUCACGGGAGACACACGGCGGGUGCUAACGUCCGUCGUGAAGAGGGAAACAACCCAGACCGCCAGCUAAGGUCCCAAAGUCAUGGUUAAGUGGGAAACGAUGUGGGAAGGCCCAGACAGCCAGGAUGUUGGCUUAGAAGCAGCCAUCAUUUAAAGAAAGCGUAAUAGCUCACUGGUCGAGUCGGCCUGCGCGGAAGAUGUAACGGGGCUAAACCAUGCACCGAAGCUGCGGCAGCGACACUGUGUGUUGUUGGGUAGGGGAGCGUUCUGUAAGCCUGUGAAGGUGUGCUGUGAGGCAUGCUGGAGGUAUCAGAAGUGCGAAUGCUGACAUAAGUAACGAUAAAGCGGGUGAAAAGCCCGCUCGCCGGAAGACCAAGGGUUCCUGUCCAACGUUAAUCGGGGCAGGGUGAGUCGACCCCUAAGGCGAGGCCGAAAGGCGUAGUCGAUGGGAAACAGGUUAAUAUUCCUGUACUUGGUGUUACUGCGAAGGGGGGACGGAGAAGGCUAUGUUGGCCGGGCGACGGUUGUCCCGGUUUAAGCGUGUAGGCUGGUUUUCCAGGCAAAUCCGGAAAAUCAAGGCUGAGGCGUGAUGACGAGGCACUACGGUGCUGAAGCAACAAAUGCCCUGCUUCCAGGAAAAGCCUCUAAGCAUCAGGUAACAUCAAAUCGUACCCCAAACCGACACAGGUGGUCAGGUAGAGAAUACCAAGGCGCUUGAGAGAACUCGGGUGAAGGAACUAGGCAAAAUGGUGCCGUAACUUCGGGAGAAGGCACGCUGAUAUGUAGGUGAAGUCCCUCGCGGAUGGAGCUGAAAUCAGUCGAAGAUACCAGCUGGCUGCAACUGUUUAUUAAAAACACAGCACUGUGCAAACACGAAAGUGGACGUAUACGGUGUGACGCCUGCCCGGUGCCGGAAGGUUAAUUGAUGGGGUCAGCGCAAGCGAAGCUCUUGAUCGAAGCCCCGGUAAACGGCGGCCGUAACUAUAACGGUCCUAAGGUAGCGAAAUUCCUUGUCGGGUAAGUUCCGACCUGCACGAAUGGCGUAAUGAUGGCCAGGCUGUCUCCACCCGAGACUCAGUGAAAUUGAACUCGCUGUGAAGAUGCAGUGUACCCGCGGCAAGACGGAAAGACCCCGUGAACCUUUACUAUAGCUUGACACUGAACAUUGAGCCUUGAUGUGUAGGAUAGGUGGGAGGCUUUGAAGUGUGGACGCCAGUCUGCAUGGAGCCGACCUUGAAAUACCACCCUUUAAUGUUUGAUGUUCUAACGUGGACCCGUGAUCCGGGUUGCGGACAGUGUCUGGUGGGUAGUUUGACUGGGGCGGUCUCCUCCUAAAGAGUAACGGAGGAGCACGAAGGUUGGCUAAUCCUGGUCGGACAUCAGGAGGUUAGUGCAAUGGCAUAAGCCAGCUUGACUGCGAGCGUGACGGCGCGAGCAGGUGCGAAAGCAGGUCAUAGUGAUCCGGUGGUUCUGAAUGGAAGGGCCAUCGCUCAACGGAUAAAAGGUACUCCGGGGAUAACAGGCUGAUACCGCCCAAGAGUUCAUAUCGACGGCGGUGUUUGGCACCUCGAUGUCGGCUCAUCACAUCCUGGGGCUGAAGUAGGUCCCAAGGGUAUGGCUGUUCGCCAUUUAAAGUGGUACGCGAGCUGGGUUUAGAACGUCGUGAGACAGUUCGGUCCCUAUCUGCCGUGGGCGCUGGAGAACUGAGGGGGGCUGCUCCUAGUACGAGAGGACCGGAGUGGACGCAUCACUGGUGUUCGGGUUGUCAUGCCAAUGGCACUGCCCGGUAGCUAAAUGCGGAAGAGAUAAGUGCUGAAAGCAUCUAAGCACGAAACUUGCCCCGAGAUGAGUUCUCCCUGACCCUUUAAGGGUCCUGAAGGAACGUUGAAGACGACGACGUUGAUAGGCCGGGUGUGUAAGCGCAGCGAUGCGUUGAGCUAACCGGUACUAAUGAACCGUGAGGCUUAACCUUACAACGCCGAAGGUGUUU